rnacentral:rRNA from 1 species
AGAGUUUGAUCCUGGCUCAGGACGAACGCUGGCGGCGCGCCUAACACAUGCAAGUCGAACGGAGCUUAAAGAGCUUGCUUUUUAAGCUUAGUGGCGAACGGGUGAGUAACGCGUGAGUAACCUGCCCUGGAGUGGGGGACAACAGUUGGAAACGACUGCUAAUACCGCAUAAGCCCACGGCCUGGCAUCGGGCUGCGGGAAAAGGAUUUAUUCGCUUCAGGAUGGACUCGCGUCCAAUUAGCUAGUUGGUGAGGUAACGGCCCACCAAGGCGACGAUUGGUAGCCGGACUGAGAGGUUGAACGGCCACAUUGGGACUGAGACACGGCCCAGACUCCUACGGGAGGCAGCAGUGGGGGAUAUUGCACAAUGGGGGAAACCCUGAUGCAGCGACGCCGCGUGGAGGAAGAAGGUUUUCGGAUUGUAAACUCCUGUCGUUAGGGACGAUAAUGACGGUACCUAACAAGAAAGCACCGGCUAACUACGUGCCAGCAGCCGCGGUAAAACGUAGGGUGCAAGCGUUGUCCGGAAUUACUGGGUGUAAAGGGAGCGCAGGCGGACCGGCAAGUUGGAAGUGAAAACUAUGGGCUCAACCCAUAAAUUGCUUUUCAAACUGCUGGCCUUUGAGUAGUGCAGAGGUAGGUGGAAUUCCCGGGGUAGCGGGGGAAAGGGGUAGAUUCGGGAGGAACCCCGGGGGGAGGGCGACCUACUGGGCCCCAACUGACGCUGAGGCUCGAAAGCAUGGGUAGCAAAUAGGAUUAGAUACCUUAGUAGUCCACGCCGUAACCGAUGAGAACUAGGUGUUGGGGGAAUAACUCAGUGCCGCAGUUAACGCAAUAAGUUCUCCGCCUGGGGAGUAUGCACGCAAGUGUGAAACUCAAAGGAAUUGACGGGGGCCCGCACAAGCGGUGGAGUAUGUGGUUUAAUUCGAAGCAACGCGAAGACCCUUACCAGGCCUUGACAUCCCUUGCAGAGGUAUAGAGAUAUAUCCGAGGUUAUCAAGGAGACAGGUGGUGCAUGGUUGUCGUCAGCUCGUGUCGUGAGAUGUUGGGUUAAGUCCCGCAACGAGCGCAACCCUUGUGAUAUGUUACUAACAUUGAGUUGAGGACUCAUAUCAGACUGCCGGUGAUAAACCGGAGGAAGGUGGGGAUGACGUCAAAUCAUCAUGCCCCUUAUGGCCUGGGCUACACACGUACUACAAUGGCGUCUACAAAGAGCGGCAAGCCUGUGAAGGCAAGCGAAUCUCAUAAAGGACGUCUCAGUUCGGAUUGAAGUCUGCAACCCGACUUCAUGAAGCUGGAAUCGCUAGUAAUCGCGAAUCAGCAUGUCGCGGUGAAUACGUUCGUGGGCCUUGUACACACCGCCCGUCA